AACCAAGAUUUUCAGUAGAGACGCCACACGCUUGCUGAAGAGAGGCCUAGGACAAAACCUAAUUGCUAAAAAUUAUUUAAAAAAAUAAUUAGUUAUGAACCUACCCAUGAAUGCACUAGGAUUGGUCGAGCCAUACUCGGAUCCGAAUGUAGUCUGUGUGGAUUCUAGUACCUGCUAAGGAAUUAAUAUAAUUUCUCAAAUUUGAGGUAGAGGCUACCAAUUCGUAUAAAAUAGUAGAAGAAUCUUUAGACUAAAACUCAUAUCUUUAGGAUUAAAAAUAAUUC
rnacentral:lncRNA from 1 species